rnacentral:misc_RNA from 1 species
GAUGAAGAACGCAGCGAAAUGCGAUACUUGGUGUGAAUUGCAGAAUCCCGUGAACCAUCGAGUCUUUGAACGCAAGUUGCGCCCGAAGCCAUUAGGCCGAGGGCACGCCUGCCUGGGCGUCACACGUCGUUGCCCCCCCAUCUACUCCUUCGGGAUUGCGGGGGGCGGAUGAUGGCCUCCCGUGCGCCUCGUCGCGCGGUUGGCAUAAAUGCCAAGUCCUCGGCGACGCACGCCACGACAAUCGGUGGUUGCGAAACCUCGGUUGCCCGUCGUGUGCGGUCGUCGCGCAUCGAGGGCUCGAAAAAAUUGCCGGGCUCCGGCUCGACUUUCAACGCGACCACAGGUCAGGCGGGGUUACCCGCUGAAUUUAAGCAUAUCAAUAAGCGGAGGA